rnacentral:rRNA from 1 species
CCUACGGGAGGCUGCAGUGGGGAAUAUUGGGCAAUGGGCGCAAGCCUGACCCAGCAACGCCGCGUGAAGGAAGAAGGCUUUCGGGUUGUAAACUUCUUUUCUCAGGGACGAAGCAAGUGACGGUACCUGCGGAAUAAGCCACGGCUAACUCCGUGCCAGCAGCCGCGGUACUACGUAGGUGGCAAGCGUUGUUCGGAUUUACGGGGUGUAAAGGGCGUGUAGGCGGGAAGGCAAGUCAGAUGUGAAAACCAUGGGCUCAACCUGUGGCCUGCAUUUGAAACGGUUUUUCUUGAGUACUGGAGAGGCAGGCGGAAUUGCUGGUGUAGCGGUGAAAUGCGUAGAUAUGAGGAGGAACACCAGUGGCGAAGGCGGUCUGCUGGACAGCAACUGACGCUGAGGCGCGAAAGCGUGGGGAGCAAACAGGAUUAGAUACCCCUGUAGUC